rnacentral:lncRNA from 1 species
CGCUUUGAGAAAUAGUAAAUUUGCCUCCCUCAUGGAGCUCGAGCGCGACUCAGAAGGCGGGAGCUGCGAGGGGUACGCCCAAAAAGCGCCCUGGAUAGUGGAUAAAGACUUCAAGCCCUUCUCUGCUCAAGACUAUUGGAAGAUAAACUCCUUGGACUCCAGAAGGAGCCAAAAAUUUGUUGAGCCUGAGCCUACAACCACAGGAGAGCCGACAACCACAACCAUCCCU